CUAAGGGCAUGAUUGUAAUCAUGGAAAUGGAAGUUUUUGUAAAUGAAAUGAGAAAGCCACCUUGAAGCAGCAAAGCAGAGGAUAGCCAUGGCCACCAUCAAAACUCUAGCAGCUCCUGAUACCAAACUUUGCUUUGUUGCUGCAAAAAUUCCAAGUGAAGCAAUGGAGAUAACCUGCAAUACAACUUCAAGUGCAUUGAGG
rnacentral:misc_RNA from 1 species